GAUAUGGGCACCAGUGACCCACGCAACCCUGAAAAGGAAGAAGCGUGUACAGAAAAUGGGUGGAUGGAUGGAGACUUGAAUGUGUUUCCUUGAAUGUGUUGGUUCCAUAGCUGCCUGCUGUUCCUACGGAAAAAUACAGUUUUUACAUCAAGAAUGAAAAAUCAAAGACACUCCCACUUCAACACGUCUUCAC